CCGGGCACCGAGGCUUCCCCCGCGGCGGACAAGGCGCCCCAGAGCUGGCCCCCGAGCGCGGCCCGCGCCCGGGGGACACGCUGGACCAGUGGGUCUCUGCCUUUCUGGUGUACGCCAGCGUGCUGUGCGAGAAGCACCCGGCCCGCUGCGGGGCCAUGUUCAAGUACCUGGACACCAUCCGCAAACUGCACGCCACUUACGGGGGCACCUCGUGGAUGAGCUACGACGAGGACUUCCGGCGGCGGGCAGCCAAGGACCCGACCCUGCCAUGGGGCGACGUGGACCUGGACCUGUGGAUGAAGUGGAUGGCACCCCUCAAGUCGCUCGUCAGCAGGCAUCAGCAUGCCGAGAGCGAGCAGCAGGCCCCGCCGCCGCCCCCGCCAGCCCCGCAGCCACCCCAGAGUCCCAAGCAGGAGGAGAAAAGCCAGACCCCAUGAAAACAGAAGGCCAGUUGGAAGGGCAGUCAGACUAAGUGGCCUGACUCCGUUGGUGUUUAAGUGGAGCUCUGGUAUUCUAGUGCAUUCUUUUACCUCUGCUUCUGUUGCAUUGCAAGCUGUGCUAGAGAAGACAUAGGAAAUUCAUUUUACCCAAUCAUCAAUUGUAACAAUGGACUACAAACCUGCAGAGCAAGCCAGUUUGCUGGAAAACAGGAAUUCCUGCAGCGCAGCACUUGUCACAGACUAUCCAAAGAGGGCAAAGAUUCAGGAAGGUGAAUAAAUUGAACAUUGGUUGAAUGAGGUCA
rnacentral:lncRNA from 1 species